rnacentral:rRNA from 1 species
AUUGAACGCUGGCGGCAGGCUUAACACAUGCAAGUCGAGCGAGAGGCGGACGGGUGAGCAAUGUCUGGGAAACUGCCUGAUGGAGGGGGAUAACUACUGGGAACUGUAGCCAAUAACGUACACCUUCAGAUGUGCCCAGUUGGGUUUAGAGAGUGGGUGGGGUAAUGGCUCACCUAGGCGACGAUCCCUAGCUGGUCUGAGAGGAUGACCAGCCACACUGGAACGGAGACACGGUCCAGACUCCUACGGGAGGCAGCAGUGGGGAAUAUUGCACAAUGGGCGCAAGCCUGAUGCAGCCAUGCCGCGUGUGUGAAGAAGGCCUUCGGGUUGUAAAGCACUUUAAGCGAGGAGGCGUUACUCGCAGAAGAAGCACCGGCUAACUCCGUGCCAGCCGCCGCGGUAAUUC